UAUUUUCUAUGUCGGCGAUGUCGCUUUGACCCCUGUCCAGGAUGCCAGCGUGGGUGAGCAACGCCCACAGGUGUGUUAUGAACUCCCCUCCUUUUGCCAGGCACUCGACGUGCUCCUUCACAUUGUCUGAUGGCGCGAGGUAGAGCAGCAUCUCUGCCCAAAAUCCCGCCAGCACCUCCCAACAACGGUCAGCGUGCACAUUCUUGAGCUGCUCCCCCAGCUUUAGGCCCUUGCGGUAAAUCGUCUCCUCAUCCCCAGCAUCCCUCAAUGCUUCUUGUGCAACCACCGUAAAAGCGAGCCAUGUAUCGUAGUGGUGACCCGGGAGAAGCUUUGGUGCAAAAGCCACCAAGUAUGCACAAUAUUUGGACAGUCUUGUGGCGACCUCAUAAUGUUCAUUGGUACCUGAUGCUGAUAAUUCCUUGUCGCAGUAGCAUGUUGCGAUGUGCCAGGUCAGAAUAACACACACCUGGUUCUCCUUCUGCUGCAAGGACACCGAGCCGAGCUCGAGGCCUUGGCGAAGCUCGAGGCUGCAAGCCCACAAUAGCUCAUAUGCCCCGCUGGACGACAGUGAUAACGCCCCGUUUGUCAGCUUAUUACCAUGGCGAUGGGUGCGUUCAAGGGACUGGACAAGUGCCUUCUUUACUGCUGCAAGCAACUCUGCAGGUUCACCAGGCUUCCAGACGACACUCCAUACGUGACGUGGUACAGCUGGACGACGCACCAUACGCUCCGUAAAUGGAUUAAGCUUGAAUGGAUUGGAGAAUAGCCCCUUUAGAAAUACAUUCCAGGGCUUGACCAUGAACUUGGUAAGCUUGGAUUGACUAGAGAAGUUGCUCACUGAUUCAAGCAACGAAUACUGCUCGAGCUUUUGCUCGUGUACUGACCAGCGGCAGGUUGACACCCACAUACCAAUGGUGACAAGAAUCUCUUUAAGCCCCAUGCAGCGGCGCUACCCUUCUGAUACGCUGGCAAGCAAAAGAUACCCUGCCCCAAAUGGUCGUCGGGUAGUACAUCACCUGCACCACUUGAAGGAAAGAGAUGCACACAAGUAUAGCUACGGUGAGAUAAACAUCAGCUGCUGUGGUGUCCACAAUGACAGACCCCUCCAUCCCUUCAGAAGGAGGCCGCAGCAGGCCUCGAGCCGUCAGGAAGGCUGUUACGACCGUUAAGGUCGCUGAGACCAGUGGCAGCACAUAUUGCGUACAUAAAUUUCCAUAAUAAAUGGCAGCAUACUUGGUGAAGAAGAAGUCAUACAUAAAAGCCAGCUCAAUCUCAAUCACCUUGAAAAUCCAGUCAUAGUCGAUUGCGGCGCUGGCCCCUCCAUCGUCAUUCUCCUUCUUCUUCUUGGCGAGCAGCCCCUUGAAGACAAGAUCACGUGUCUUGGGCUGCGAUGAUUCACCGCACUCAAACCCGAAGAAACGUCUCCGUAACAGAUGGAAAAGGGAGAAGGAAAGGCAUGCAUCCUUAAGAUCAGGGCUUAGAUCGUCGUUUCGCCACACCUUGUCUAGGUCAAUGAUGAUUGGAUCAGAAGGGCCUCUAAUUCUGAACCGCGUUUCAUACUUUCCAAUAUAUGUAGAAAUAGGAUCCACGGUGCACUCCACGAGGUAAUGGUAACCUGUCAUGGUGGCUGGAUCCUAAUCUUCUCCGCUAAUGGUGUGCUCAUGAUACAUGUAAUCAGCAACCAUUUUAUUCAACAACCAUGAUUCGCUUGCCAUUCGACAUGCCGCUAACCUUUGCGCAAAAUACACGGCUGCGACGGCCAACAGAGAAGUAAGCGGGAGCACUCUGAAAAUUAAAUAACCUUACCGCCUCCUGGCAUCCCCUGAAAUGUUUUUUCCUUUCGGUUGGAUGCUUCAGUUGGUGGAUAUCAACAGUAAUUCGUUGGUUCCUGCAUCUAUCAUGUGUAAUGGCCUACAUGCCUGAUCCGGCCGACCAACCCACCAGUGAAAUUUGCCCUUAGUAGCUUUCCUUCGGUUCUCCUCCCGAAAGGGAAAGAAUUCCUGGUGUCUCAGUUCUCCAGAAUUGCCCCACCAGACCAAAGCUAUCCAACAAGACCUAGCUUGUUGGUUCUACUGUUUCGGUAGUUCAGAGGGUUGAUUCCCAUGUAGGCAAAAACAAGAAUUCUUGUUCAUCAUGAGAGUAAAAAGAAUAAUUGAGGCAUCCGGGUAAAAAUAAGCACGCAUGAGAGCUGUUUAUCAUUCAUCAAGCAGAGAACAAAUGAUACAAAGUGCGGCAAUACACACGGCCAGGGGUAUUUUGUCUCAAACAAGUUGACGAAUACAUGAAAAGAACCAAUAAUGAUAUAUAGUACAGCCGCAAGCAUUGACCAAAGUACAUGAGAAAUAAAUGGCCAAAGGCCUCAAUGGUAGGAGAUCAACAACACCGGCAUCCUUCCCAUCAGACUUGCAGUAAUAACAAGUCACUAAAGCAUACCAGGAUAACAAUUAUCUUGAACAAUUAAAAAAAUGAAGAAGUGGCAGGGCAAUAUCAGCAUAAGUGAUCAGGGCUUGCUGAAAGUUUCCUUGGAUGAGAAUAACAGAGCUUUCCUAGAAUCUGCAAGUUCAAAAGUAAAUUAUUAUGAGUUAUGACUAAGGCGAAGAUGGGUUGGACCCAUUUUUGACAUUGAGUAGCGCUUAUAUUUCAGUAUCUAUUAUUUUUUCAAUGACUGACACAGAGCAAUUUAAUGAUAGCAACAAUACUCACUAUUAUGAUCACUAUGAUCUCAUCGCGAGCUCGUUCCACAAUCCGCACAAGACUUUCCUGUUGAAGGACCAUCCCUGUUGCUGAAAAACAAGAUCAUCAUUAGCUAAGACAAUUCCAUUGAUUGGAGCACCGAAGCCUAUAUAAUACUAUUUGGAACAUAUGUUGAGAGAGAGAGAGAGACUUACGUUGGACGCGAUGCUGGUUGAUUUCCUCCAUUAUUUUCUAUGUCGGCGACGUCGCUUUGACCCCUGUCCAGGAUGCCAGCGUGGGUGAGCAAUGCCCACAAGUGCGUUAUAAACUCCCCUCCUUUUGCCAGGCACUCGACGUGCUCCUUCACAUUGUUUGAUGGCGCGAGGUAGAGCAGCAUCUCCGCCCAAAAUCCCGCCAGCACCUCCCAGCAAUGGUCAGCCUGCAUAUUCUUGAGCUGCUCCCCCAGCCUUAGGCCCUUGCGGUAAAUCGUCUCCUCAUCCCCAGCUUCUUGUGACUGCUGCUGCUUCAAUGCUUCUUCUGCAACCAGCAUAAAAGCAAUCCAUGUAUCGUAGUGGUGACCCGGGAGAAGCUUUGGUGCAAAAGCCACCAAGUAUGCACAGUAUUUGGACAGUCUUGUGGCGACCUCAUAAUGCUCAUUGGUGAUGGCACUACCUGAUGCUGAAAAUUCCCUGUCGCAGUAGCAUGUUGAGAUGUGCCAGGUCAGAAUAACACACACCUGGUUCUCCUUCUGCUGCAAGGACACCGAGCCGAGCUCGAGGCCUUGGCGAAGCUCGAGGCUGCAAGCCCACAAUAGCUCAUAUGCCCCGCUGGACGACAGUGAUAACGCCCCGUUUGUCAGCUUAUUACCAUGGCGAUGGGUGCGUUCAAGGGACUGGACAAGUGCCUUCUUUACUGCUGCAACCAACUCUGCAGGUUCACCAGGCUUCCGGAUGAUGCUCCGUACGUGAUUUGGUAUGACUCGGC
rnacentral:lncRNA from 1 species